GCCUGCUCACACUGUGGGAUGGUUUUCCUAACAGUGAAUCACCAUGUAUGUGUAGAAUAGUCCGCCGGCUCACUCUGUGUGAUAACAGUGAAUCCUCAUGUACAUAUAGAAUAGUCC